AAUAGAUACCCUGGUAGUCCACGCCCUAAACGAUGAAUACUCGAUGUUGGCGAUAUACGGUCAGCGUCUAGGCGAAAGCGUUAAGUAUUCCACCUGGGGAGUACGCCCGCAAGGGUGAAACUCAAAGGAAUUGACGGGGGGCCCGCACAAGCGGAGGAGCAUGUGGUUUAAUUCGAUGAUACGCGAGGAACCUUACCCGGGCUUGAAAGUUAGUGAAUUGAGCAGAGACGCUCAAGUCCUUCGGGACACGAAACUAGGUGCUGCAUGGCUGUCGUCAGCUCGUGCCGUGAGGUGUUGGGUUAAGUCCCGCAACGAGCGCAACCCCGUAUGUUUAGUUGCCAGCAUGUAAUGGUGGGGACUCUAAACAGACUGCCUAUGCAAAUAGAGAGGAAGGAGGGGACGACGUCAAGUCAUCAUGGCCCUUACGUCCGGGGCUACACACGUGCUACAAUGGGCAGUACAGAGGGCAGCUACCUGGCAACAGGAUGCCAAUCUCCAAAACGCUGUUCACGAGUUCGGGAUCGGGGUCU
rnacentral:rRNA from 1 species